rnacentral:lncRNA from 10 species
AAUGGGAAAACAUUGAGGAUGAAGUAGCAAAUAUUUGAGAAUUCAACUUGAUUGGUGGCUGUUGCAGGUUCAUACGUGAGUGGUUACGUAGUGGGUAGUUAAACUGACAAUGACCAGCUGAAUUUUGGUGACAGGACUGCUCCUAAGGUUUGAAAUGUAGCGUAUCCUCUGAUUCACGGGCUAAGCUCUGCCACUUAGCAGGAGGAGCUCAUGAUAGAGCAGGUUGAGGGGAAAACUUUGCCCCAUAAGGGUUCUUCACUGCAAGUGAGAAGGUCUUGGCUUUGAGCCUCCAAUUUCAAUCAGACAGAAAGCAGACCAGUCGGCAGGACAGUAUAUGCCUCUGGAGAUCCGUGCUGAUGUGGGGGCCUCAGAUACAAGAUGCCUCAGGGCCCAGGCGUGACCCUCUCCUUCCCUCCUGCACGGAGAUGCUGUGAGAAUUAGACACUCCCACAGGGCCCUGUCAGACACUGAGCUAGCCUCUGGGAACCGGAAGAUAUUCAAAACACCAGCCACCCCCCACACACACAGACAAGGCGCUGGAGGGACAGCUGUGCAGCGGCAGAGCAUGAGAGGUCUUGAUCAGUUAACUCAGUGAGGUUAGGAGGCGAAUUUUUUUUUUUUUGAGAUGGAGUCUUACUUUGUCACCCAGUCAGGAGUGCAGUGGCGUGAUCUCGGCUCACUGCAACCUCCGCCUCCUGGCCUCAAGUGAUUCUUCCGCCUCAGCCUCCCGAGUAGCUGGGACUACAGGUGCGUGCCACCACACCCAGCUAAUUUUUGUAUUUUUGGUAGAGACAGUGUUUCACCACGUUGGACAGGCUGGUCUCAAUCUCUUGACCUCGUUAUCUGCCUGCCCUGGCCUCCCAAAGUGCUGGGAUUAUAGGUGUGAGCCACAAAGCCUUUUUGUUUUCAUUUUUGAGAUGGAGUCUCGCUCUGUCGCCCAGGCUGGAGUGCAGUGGCAUGAUCUCAGCUCACUGCAACCUCUGCAUCCCAGUUCAAGCAGUUCUCCGCCUCGGCCUCCUGAGUAGCUGGGAUCACAGGUGCCCGCCACCACACUUGGCUAAUUUUUUGUAUUUUUAGUAGAGAUGAGGUUUCACCGUGGUGGCCAGGCUGGUCUCAAACUCCUGACCUCAAAUGAUCUGCCUGCCUCGGCUUCCCAAAGUGCUGGGAUGACACUGAGCCACCGCGCCUGGCAAGGAGAGACAGGGUUUCACCAUGUUGGCGAGGCUGGUCCCGAACUCCUGGCCUCAAGUGAUCUGCCCGCCGUCCGCCUCAGUGUCCCGAGGUGCUGGGAUUACAGGUGUGAGCCACCGCACCCAGCAAAAGUGCUUUCUCGAGAUGGAAUCUGCGCCUGGUGAAGAUGCUCUAAACAUUGCUGAGAUAACAAAGGAUUUAGAAUAUUCCAUAAACUUCGUUGGUACAGCAGCGAUAGGGUUCGAGAGGAUUUUCCAGUUGUGAGAGAAGGUCUGCUGUGGACAAAAUGCUACCAAACAGCAUCGCGUGCUACGGAGAAAUCUUUUGUGAAAGGAAGAAGCUCAAUGUGGCCAGCUUUAUUGUUGUCUUAUUUUAAGAAAUUGCUGGCCGGGUGUGGUGGAGAAUCACUUGAACCCAGGAGGCAGAGGUUGCAGUGAGCCGAGAUCACGCCAUUGAACUCCAGCUGGGCAUAAGAGCAAAACUCCAUCUCAAAAAAAAAAAAAAAAAGGAAGAAAUUGCCACAGCCACCUCAGCCUUCAGCCACCACCACCCUGAUCAGUCAGCAGCCACAAACAAGACCUUCCACCAGCAAAGAGAUCCCAACUUCCUCAAGCCUCAGCACUACCGAGGUUGACGCAGCUAGAUGGUUUUCUCCCCGGCUGGUUGCUGCUUCUCACCCACAGAGGCGGUGGAGCCCUUGGAACUGGGCAGAACACAGGGCUGCCUUGUCACCACUGCCUGGCUGAACCUGAAAUUGGGCCGUUUGACAGAAAGACUUGAAAGGGCCACCAGUAAAUUCUUUUUUCUUUUCAUUGAUUUUCCUCUUCUUACUUUCCUCCUCCUGAAGUUGGGGUCAUGUCCCAAGAAGACCCACAAGGCCUGGCCUGUGGGUGCACAUGUGGGGAGGGUCAGGUCUGUCGGCUGAGGAGGGCAUUGGUAGGGGACUUUGAGCAGUGCUGCUCCGGAGACACGAAUGAUGGGAUGGGAGGCUCUCCCAUAUCUGCCGAGAGCACAGCACCCCAUGACUCCUGGGAGCUUGUCAUAGAUGCUGCAGAUGAGUCCUUCCUCAGACGGGAUAUUUGCUAAUGCCUCUGCCAGCCUGGGCUUGUCUUCUCAGGGCCUUUCAAAAUGCACACACCCUUCAUUCUCAUGAUGUCCAGUGGAUCAGGUUUUCCUUUAUGUGUCAUGCUUUUAGUGUUUAAGAAUCAUUUCUCUAACCCAAGUCACACUGACAUCCUCCUUUUCAUUCUUAACGCACAUUUUACAGUUGUAGGCCUUACAUUUUGGCUUAUAAUAAGUUCUGAGGCCAGGCACAGUGCUCACACCUGUAAUCCUGGCACUUUGAGAGGCCAAGGCGGGUGGAUCACCAGAGGUCAGGAGUUUGACACAAGCCUGGCCAACAUGGUGAAACCCCG